rnacentral:lncRNA from 10 species
ACCCACCCGACCGACGCAGGCGCAGCCUGGGGAGCUGGCAGCCCCACCAGACCUCCCGUCGCCAUGGAGAUGCCCAAAGGGCAAGGUGGAGAGCUGGCGGUUGCCAUGGCAGUCGGAGGGCAGUUGCUGGGGCAACCGACCUUACUGUUACCUUAGUAGACAGGAAAACAGGGCUGAGGCCGCACCUCCGCCAGGGCGGCGGGAAGCAUCGCGGAUGGUGGCCAGGUGGGCCAUGCAGCUCCCCGUUGCUGCAGCAGUGCUGGGAGCUUGGGAGACUGAGGCAACCCAGCAGCCAUAAUGUUCCCAACAGGUUCCUCAUCUCCAUCUGAGGCCAUAUCAGCCUGGAAUUUAUUUUUCAUAUCACUACCAGCAUUUUGGUCAAAGCCAUUCAACAAAUGUCUAGGAAGUUCCAAACUUCCCCACAUCUUCCUGUCUCCUUUAGAGCCCUCCAAACUGUUCCAACCUCUGCCUGUUACCCAGUUCCAAAGUUGCUUCCACAUUUUUGGGUAUCCUUAUAGCAGCACCCAACUCCUGGUACCAAUUUAUUGUAUUAGCCCCUUUAUAAAACCAUUAGUCUAAGGGAGGAGACCACCCCUCAUAUUGUCUUAUGCUCAAUUUCUGCCUCCAAAGAAAGAAGAAGUAAAAACUAAAAGGCAGAAAUGAAAUCCAUAGGCUGCCACACCCUGGGCCUGGUUAAAGAUUGACCCCUGACCUAACCAGUUAUGUUAUCUAUAGAUUCCAGACAUUGUAUGGAAAAGCAUUGUGAAAAUCCCUGUCCUAUUCUGUCCCGUUCCGAUUACCAGUGCAUGCAGCCCCCAGUCACGUACCCCCUGCUUGCUCAAUUGAUCAUGACUCUCUCACGUGGACCCCCUUAGAGUUGUAAGCCCUUAAAAGGGAUGGGAAUUGCUC